rnacentral:rRNA from 1 species
GACGAACGCUGGCGGCGUGCUUAACACAUGCAAGUCGAACGAAGUGGCGAACGGGUGAGUAACGCGUAAUCAACCUGCCCUUCAGAGGGGGACAACAGUUGGAAACGACUGCUAAUACCGCAUACUGAAGGAGGGGAUUGCGUCUGAUUAGCUAGUUGGAGGGGUAACGGCCCACCAAGGCGAUGAUCAGUAGACGGUCUGGGGGGAUGAACGGCCACAGUGGGACUGAACAACGGCCCAGACUGCUACGGGAGGCAGCAGGGGGGAGUCUUCCGAAAUGGACGAAAGUCUGACGGAGCAACGAAGCGGGAGUGAUGAAGGCUGUCGGGUUGUAAAGCUCUGUUAAUCGGGACGCGGUACCGGAAUAGAAAUCCACGGCUAACUAAGUGCCAGCAGCCGCGGUAAUAC